rnacentral:rRNA from 1 species
GACGAACGCUGGCGGCGUGCUUAACACAUGCAAGUCGAACGGAAAGGCCCUGCUUUUGUGGGGUGCUCGAGUGGCGAACGGGUGAGUAACACGUGAGUAACCUGCCCUUGACUUUGGGAUAACUUCAGGAAACUGGGGCUAAUACCGGAUAGGAGCUCCUGCUGCACGGUGGGGGUUGGAAAGUUUCGGCGGUUGGGGAUGGACUCGCGGCUUAUCAGCUUGUUGGUGGGGUAGUGGCUUACCAAGGCUUUGACGGGUAGCCGGCCUGAGAGGGUGACCGGCCACAUUGGGACUGAGAUACGGCCCAGACUCCUACGGGAGGCAGCAGUGGGGAAUAUUGCACAAUGGGCGGAAGCCUGAUGCAGCAACGCCGCGUGCGGGAUGACGGCCUUCGGGUUGUAAACCGCUUUCGCCUGUGACGAAGCGUGAGUGACGGUAAUGGGUAAAGAAGCACCGGCUAACUACGUGCCAGCAGCCGCGGUGAUACGUAGGGUGCGAGCGUUGUCCGGAUUUAUUGGGCGUAAAGGGCUCGUAGGUGGUUGAUCGCGUCGGAAGUGUAAUCUUGGGGCUUAACCCUGAGCGUGCUUUCGAUACGGGUUGACUUGAGGAAGGUAGGGGAGAAUGGAAUUCCUGGUGGAGCGGUGGAAUGCGCAGAUAUCAGGAGGAACACCAGUGGCGAAGGCGGUUCUCUGGGCCUUUCCUGACGCUGAGGAGCGAAAGCGUGGGGAGCGAACAGGCUUAGAUACCCUGGUAGUCCACGCUGUAAACGGUGGGUACUAGGUGUGGGGUCCAUUCCACGGGUUCCGUGCCGUAGCUAACGCUUUAAGUACCCCGCCUGGGGAGUACGGCCGCAAGGCUAAAACUCAAAGGAAUUGACGGGGCCCCGCACAAGCGGCGGAGCAUGCGGAUUAAUUCGAUGCAACGCGUAGAACCUUACCUGGGUUUGACAUGGAUCGGGAGUGCUCAGAGAUGGGUGUGCCUCUUUUGGGGUCGGUUCACAGGUGGUGCAUGGCUGUCGUCAGCUCGUGUCGUGAGAUGUUGGGUUAAGUCCCGCAACGAGCGCAACCCUUGUUCACUGUUGCCAGCACGUUAUGGUGGGGACUCAGUGGAGACCGCCGGGGUCAACUCGGAGGAAGGUGGGGAUGACGUCAAGUCAUCAUGCCCCUUAUGUCCAGGGCUUCACGCAUGCUACAAUGGCUGGUACAGAGAGUGGCGAGCCUGUGAGGGUGAGCGAAUCUCGGAAAGCCGGUCUCAGUUCGGAUUGGGGUCUGCAACUCGACCUCAUGAAGUCGGAGUCGCUAGUAAUCGCAGAUCAGCAACGCUGCGGUGAAUACAUUCCCGGGGCU